AGUGGAUGGGGAGCAACCUAGUUGUGCGUGUGUAAAGGUAGUGCCAAGAAAAGCGGUGAUCAUGAUGAAAAUCAAUUCCCGGUACCCGAAACCGACACAGGUGGGCAAGUAGAGAAUACUAAGGGGCGCGAGGUAACUCUCUCCAAGGAACUCGGCAAAAUGACCCCGUAACUUAGGGAGAAGGGGUGCCACCGAGAGGUGGUCGCAGUGAAGAGGCCCAGGCGACUGUUUAGCAAAAACAUAGGUCUCUGCAAACUCGAAAGAGGAGGUAUAGGGGCUGACGCCUGCCCAGUGCCGGAAGGUUAAAGAAGUUGGUCAGUCUUAGGAUAAAGCUAGCGACUGAAGCCCCGGUGAACGGCGGCCGUAACUAUAACGGUCCUAAGGUAGCGAAAUUCCUUGUCGGGUAAGUUCCGACCCGCACGAAAGGCGUAACGAUCUGGGCGCUGUCUCGGAGAGAGGCUCGGCGAAAUAGGAUUGUCUCUGAAGAUACGGACUACCUGCAUUUGGACAGAAAGACCCUAUGAAGCUUUACUAUAGCUUGGAAUUGUGUUCGGGCUUCCUGUGCGCAGGAUAGGUGGGAGGCGAAGAAGGUAUUCUUGUGGGGAUACUGGAGCCAACGGUGAGAUACCACUCUCAGGAGGCUAGAAUUCUAACUUAAUUAAGGACAGUUUCAGGUGGGUAGUUUGACUGGGGCGGUCGCCUCCAAAAAGGUAACGGAGGCGUACAAAGGUUCCCUCAGACUGGUUGGAAAUCAGUCGCAGAGUGCAAAGGCAGAAGGGAGCUUGACUGCGAGAAGUACAGUUCGAGCAGGGUGGAAACACGGUCUUAGUGAUCCGACGGUGCUGUGUGGAAGGGCCGUCGCUCAACGGAUAAAAGUUACUCUAGGAUAACAGGCUGAUCUCCCCCAAGAGUUCACAUCGACGGGGAGGUUUGGCACCUCGAUGUCGGCUCAUCGCAACCUGGGGCGGAAGUACGUCCCAAGGGUUGGGCUGUUCGCCCAUUAAAGCGGUACGUGAGCUGGGUUCAGAACGUCGUGAGACAGUUCGGUCCAUAUCCGAUGUAGGCGUGAGAAUAUUGAGAGGAGCCUUCCUUAGUACGAGAGGACCGGGAAGGACGCACCGCUGGUGUACCUGUUAUGAUGCCAAUUGUAAACGCAGGGUAGCCAAGUGCGGAGAGGAUAACCGCUGAAAGCAUCUAAGUGGGAAGCCCACCUCAAGAUGAGUAUUCUGGUGUAAGGUCACGGGAAGACGACCCGUAAAUAGGCACGAGGUGGAAGUGCAGAGAUGUAUGAAGCCGAAGUGUACUAAUAGACCGUCGGCUUGAC
rnacentral:rRNA from 1 species